GGCACACUGCGGGGACUGCCGGGGAAACCCGGAGGAAGGUGCGGGCGACGGCAGGUAUGCAUGCCCCGAAUGCCCCGGGCUACACGCGCGCAUCAAUGGGCGGGACAGGGGGCCGCGACCCCGAAAGGGGGAGCAAAUCCCCAAACCCGCUCUCAGUCCAGAUCGAGGGCUGCAACUCGCCCUCGUGACGGCGGAAUCUCUAGUAGUCGGACGUCACCAGCGUCCGGCGAAUACGUCCCUGCUCCUUGCACUCACCGCCCGUCAAGCCACCCGAGC
rnacentral:rRNA from 1 species